AAGGAAAAAGAUUUUUCGAGUUGUUUUUUUCAUUUCUCUGAUUUUCUCUUUCCUAUUAUUGUUUGGAUGGGUAAGCAUUCACCUGUAGGAACUAUACACAGCAAAUAUCUACCUGUGCAGCAGUGCGUGUUAUCUUUCGCAUUCCAAGGCCGAAUGGAUCCCGUAAAAAUCGUGGCGAAAAACAGCGACAGCUGUUCUCGUCACUAUGGUGAUAACUGUCUAUACUGUGUAUGGUUAGUGAAAGGUUUUCUCUUUUCUCUCUCUCUUUCGGCUGAGAUGCCUAACCUUCAUUUCCUUAGUUAACAACUUUGACUCGUCGGGAAGACCAAAAGAAAGUUUCUCCGUUCAACCUGUAAAGGGGACCUUGGAAUACCAGACAUUUCAAGAAAGUCCCAUAUGAUGCUUUAAGUUGUUGAUUAGUUAUCAAAAGACCCUAUGGGCUCGUUGAUAUCGACUCAUCAAACAGGUAGAUAGAGGCACAUUCACCUGUGAAGUUCACCUUAAACAAAAGUACGAAGCCAUUUCUCAUUGUGACAUUACUGAGUUAAACUUAGGUCCCUUAUUUUUGGGGGGUUUGGCAACCUGACCUCAAUAAAAUGAUGCACUUUAAUUGGUAUAAGACAUCACUAAAGUCGACAUCGUUGCAGGUGAAAGCUAAAUUGGCUCUAUAGAAUUUGUUUCCCGUCUUUAAGUUUAGUAUUACCUGACUAGACUUUAAAACAAUAAGACGAAUCAGAAUGAAAAGAAACGCACGUACGACCUUUUUUUGGCAGUUUGUUGUGACGUUUGGUUCUGCAUUUGUUUCCUCAUGAAACAAACGGAUGGAAAUGACAUUUGACGAUGAUGAGUUAGUACACCAAGUGACUUGCUAACAGGGGAAACAUACACCUAGGUAACAUCUCUGGGAAUUGACCUUCAAAACCAUACAGGAAAGUCGAAUCGUUUUCCGUGACCGAAACAAUGACGUACUCUGACAGUGAGCGAGGAGCGCAUCACACAAGAAGACGUGUUUAACUCCACGUAUGCGUAGAACACAGGGAAACCUGAGAGAGCAUUUGAUAUACUAGAAGAGGGUAGCACGGAAGACAAGCGAUGCAAAAAGAAAAUGCGAUAUGAAAGAUGUCGCGUUGGUCCUCUCUUCACAGCAUGGAAGCUUCCGGUUCUUUAGCGAAUCUUCAACCAGGAAAUCCUAGACGGCCAAUGGAAGAAAUCACGUGAACGUCCAACAGACCAGCGGAUGUCCCCUGCUGCUUAAUUACCUUUUCUGCCGUGAUGUCCUCGAUGCUAUACGCAUGGUGCUGAAUUUUCAGGCGUUGGCUGACAUUUGGUGACAAGAAUGUGUGAUGCAAUCUCUCCUUGAAUUCCGUUUUUGCGCUCUCACCCAGCAAUCUAGUUUAUCAAAAAUGAAAAGCUGACGUCCACCCUAAAAAGUCCCGUUUAUAACGACUUACUAGGUCAGGUACGUACUCUAGGCAACGGCCAUUAUUGUUUAUUACUAGCAUCCAUUUUUUGCUAUUUACAGCCCGUAAUCGGCGUUCUCUAUAGCAAUUUUUUCCUAGUUCGUAUCGUGUGCCUUUCCCUUUUUUGCAUACAACCUUGGCCGGGUGUGCAAUCAAAUAUUCUUUAUGAAAAACUAUCUAAUAUAGAUAUGAUAUGGAUAAAUCUAAAAAAACAAUUCUGCUACAUCAUAAAUGAGAAACUUUUCAAAGGCCAGCAUACAUUUCUCCUCAACUCUAUUUUUAACAUCUAAUUUGCUUAACGAUUCUUGUUUGGCUUUGAUCUACCUAAUGCGGUUUCCUAUCCCAGCAAUAGAUGUACGGUAAUCCAUAGGCAUAAUACAGCCAGUUAUGUUACUAGGACUA
rnacentral:lncRNA from 1 species